rnacentral:misc_RNA from 1 species
GUUAUUUAAGGGAAGUGAAGUUGGUGGAUCCUGCAAUCUCUCUUGCACAAACUUAAAAAGUUUCUGUGGACCGGUGACGCCUUUGGGAGCGUUGUUGACGUUGGACUUGACAGCGAAUUUGGCGAGGUUCGACAGGAUCCAUCCAAACUUCUUGUCCUGUCGGUCUCGCUCUAUUUUAAUGGCGCUAGUCAUUUCGAUAAUGGAUGUGGGAC